GGUUAGCCGCAAGGCGAAGCUCUUGAUCGAAGCCCCGGUAAACGGCGGCCGUAACAAUAACGGUCCUAAGGUAGCGAAAUUCCUUGUCGGGUAAGUUCCGACCUGCACGAAUGGCGUAAUGAUGGCCAGGCUGUCUCCACCCGAGACUCAGUGAAAUUGAACUCGCUGUGAAGAUGCAGUGUACCCGCGGCAAGACGGAAAGACCCCGUGAACCUUUACUAUAGCUUGACACUGAACAUUGAGCCUUGAUGUGUAGGAUAGGUGGGAGGCUUUGAAGUGUGGACGCCAGUCUGCAUGGAGCCGACCUUGAAAUACCACCCUUUAAUGUUUGAUGUUCUAACGUUGACCCGUAAUCCGGGUUGCGGACAGUGUCUGGUGGGUAGUUUGACUGGGGCGGUCUCCUCCUAAAGAGUAACGGAGGAGCACGAAGGUUGGCUAAUCCUGGUCGGACAUCAGGAGGUUAGUGCAAUGGCAUAAGCCAGCUUGACUGCGAGCGUGACGGCGCGAGCAGGUGCGAAAGCAGGUCAUAGUGAUCCGGUGGUUCUGAAUGGAAGGGCCAUCGCUCAACGGAUAAAAGGUACUCCGGGGAUAACAGGCUGAUACCGCCCAAGAGUUCAUAUCGACGGCGGUGUUUGGCACCUCGAUGUCGGCUCAUCACAUCCUGGGGCUGAAGUAGGUCCCAAGGGUAUGGCUGUUCGCCAUUUAAAGUGGUACGCGAGCUGGGUUUAGAACGUCGUGAGACAGUUCGGUCCCUAUCUGCCGUGGGCGCUGGAGAACUGAGGGGGGCUGCUCCUAGUACGAGAGGACCGGAGUGGACGCAUCACUGGUGUUCGGGUUGUCAUGCCAAUGGCACUGCCCGGUAGCUAAAUGCGGAAGAGAUAAGUGCUGAAAGCAUCUAAGCACGAAACUUGCCCCGAGAUGAGUUCUCCCUGACUCCUUGAGAGUCCUGAAGGAACGUUGAAGACGACGACGUUGAUAGGCCGGGUGUGUAAGCGCAGCGAUGCGUUGAGCUAACCGGUACUAAUGAACC
rnacentral:rRNA from 1 species